UUGUCACUCAGUGCAGCCAGCAGAGCACUAGAGCAGUCAGCACCAGUGGCCAGCUGCAUUAGUAUGGCGGAUGACUUAAAGAAAAUAAUAAAAGAGACUUUAAGGGCUAGAGGUACUUGGAACGAAAUUAAGUCUCAUUUAACAUCUGAGGUCGUGGAAGUGUUAGAUGAAAAGGUUAGAAUCAUUAGGUGAUUUGUAAUAUCCGUCAGUGAAAGUUAAAUCUGCAUAGGGUCCUAUAUUGUAGCAUGGAGGGGGUAUAGGUCUUAUGCGCAUAUUGUCAUCAGUUUAGUAAUAAUUGGGCGAAGCCUUUGUAUAAAAGACUCACAGUCACGUCCCGUUUUUGUCUGUCUUUUUGUGUCAACCCUAUAUAUAUAUGCAUAAUACCAAGAGUGGAUAAUUAUUUAGGCAGAGUGUCUAACCUGCCUAUAUUCUGUGAUACCACAGUAUGUAUGUUUACGCAUGUACAUCCGUUUUUUGCAAGCAUAGACCCUUUGCAUUAGGUAGGGCAGUUAGGAGACUGUGUUUUUUGUUGGCCAUCUUGGUGUACAAGGUGGUGAUUUGUGCUAUGGUUGGCUGUGGGAAUUGGAGUGAUAGAGAUAAAGCAAAGAGUUUUUUUCGACUAUUGAGCGUACUCACCAAUCAAGGUACUAAAACUAAGUUGCUGACACAAAGAAGACAGAAAGCAUGGCUCUUUAAAAUAAAUAGAGCUGAUAUUACUCCUAAACAAUGCUAUAAUAUCAGUGUUUGUUCUGAUCAUUUUGUCAGUGGUGUUCCUGCAAAACUCUAAAAUAUGAACAACCCUGACUUGGCUCCUUCAGUGAAGCUAAGGUAUGGAUCUGCUAGUGGUAAAAAAGAAAAGCUUGGAUGCUACAUCACAAAGAUACACAAGAACUCAGAAGAGGAGAAGAUUGUGUGCCAAUACCAUAUAGCGGGUUUUUUUCGAGGAUAAUAAAUUUCGCAAAUGACCCAUAUCCGGAAGUUUGCAGAAUUAAUUUUCGCGAAUUUUUACUAAUCAAUUGAUUUUCAAGGAAUUUAAUUUCGCGAAUCAUGAAAAAAUCCACGAAAUUCGCGAAAUUUGUUAUCCUUGAAAAAAACCCGCUAUACGGUAGUAAUUUCAUUGAAAUCAGUACUGUUGAUACAUCAAUUAAUACUGGAAAUGAGUUGAAAUUGGAGUCUGAAAGCCAUGAUAUUCAGUCAGCCAAGAACUAUGAUACUGAAGCUAAUGAUGUUGAUCAUGUUGUACAUACCUCCUGCAGUAUGGCUCUUCAAAGAGACCCAUCACUAGGUUUGGAAGAUAUGAAGAAGUAUCAGGAUGAAUUUGAGGAAUUGAAAAAAAAGAACGAAACUCUGAAAAAGGAUGUUCAUUUGUUAGAAUUUGAACUGAAAGAGCGAUACAUUAAUGAGGAAUAUUUUAAGGAUAAUGACAAGAAAGUAUUAUUUUAUACUAGUCUUAGUACAUGGAGUUUGCUUAUGGCACUCUUCACAUAUAUAAAACCUUUUUGAAUGACACUGGAAAUUUAUCAUUGUCUUCAUUUCAAUAGCUGUUACUGACAUUGAUGAAGUGGCGUUUAAAUUUACACGGUCAAGACUUGGCAUACCAAUCAAUGUGCAUAACUCAACAGUAAGUCGUGUUUUUCUUUGCGUCAUUGAAAUUCUGCAUGUGAAACUUAAACCAUUGAUCAGAUGGCCAGAUCAAGAUGCCUUGAAAAAACAAUGCCAAUGGUUUUUGUAAGCACUUCCCCAGUUGUAUUGUUAUUAUCAACAAAUCUACUUGCUUGAGCACAGAGAUUCAUCGUACAAACACCAUAAUACUGUAAAGUACACAUACAUGUAUCUCAUUGGUAUCACUCCUACUCUUAGCUUUAUUUCAGAAGGCUGGGAGGAAGAACCAAUGACAAGUUUAUCAUAGAACAUAGUAAACUCUACAACAAUCUCUUACCAGGAGACACCAUUUUGGCAGAUCGUGGUUUUGACAUAAGAGACUCUGUUGGACUCCUGUGUUCAAAAUUAGUAAUUCCAGCAUUUACAAAAAAAGCAAAAAGCAGCUUGAUCCAAUAAGUGCUGAACAAACCAGGAAGAUUGCCAAUGCCCGCAUACAUGUACAUGUACAUGUGGAACGAGUUAUUGGGAAUGUGCGGAAGAAAUAUUCUUUUCUUAGUUCUACUUUACCAGUUGAUUUUAUGACAUCUGACGACUACCAAGAAACGACACUUGAUAAAAGAGUUUGUGUUUCUUGUGCUCUAGUUGUAUGUGACUCUGUUGUUCCAUUUGAUUAAGUUACUUAUUAUGAUUCAUGGUGAUUAUUAACAAAGUGAAAUCAGUAAUUGUCAUUAAAUGUAUUAUGAGAUUACAUAAAUUUUGAUUAAAUGUACUAGAAGUCUAUUUGUUAGCUUUCUCAGUCUUUCUUUGAAAAGCAGGUAAAUUGCGACAGUCAGGGCAAUACCAGUGCUUUGAUGUGGGCUCAGAUUCGAGGCCAAGGCAAUCUACAUGUAGAUGAAACCAUUGGUAGACACAACUGGGAUUAUUACACCCUACCAUGCUGCCUUCUUCUGGACCAUCACAACAGCAGUAACUUGUAACUGUGGAGGAUGAAGUUAAGCUACAAUCCCCUGACUGAACAGAUAUAUUUCGGGAAUAGAAUUUUCCUAGGAGCUCUAGUAAGAUGGCUGUUAUAGAAAAUGUUCUACUUUCAUAAUUUUCAAUGACCAAAAGUCUUCGUCUGGGUAAAUCCUUGCAAUGUAUAAAUCCUUAUCAGUCCAAUACAUGUAGCUUCUCCUUGUACAAAAAUUUUACACACCUGGUAAUAAUAUGCAUGAUAUUUUUUCAAAUCAAAAGAGCCAUCAUCAUUUUUAAAAAGACAAAAGUUGGUAUCUUUAACUGAUUCUUCAAUUGAGUCAUUUUUGUGACUACAUGUAUAUGGGCACUACAGUAGAUAUGAAUUAUACAUGCACUUAAAACUUAACACACUUUUAUUUCACAUGUGCCUUCCCAACAACAUAUACAAAAUACCAAGCCAUCUUAUGGGAGGUGAUUAGUGCCAAAAUUAGGAUAUUGCUUUCCUUUAAAAUUGGACACAUUUUAAAACUAUUAGAGCCUAUUUUUACUUUAUUGGAGCAGGCCUGGAGGAGGCUGACUUGUAUCAUCAAGUGGAGGAUACUUGCUGUGUCCUCAUGGCAGAGUCUAGUCCUGCAGAAAUAUUUGAUGCUGAUCCAAGGCCUACUAUUGUAUAUACCAGCUUAAUUGGUCGCCCAAGCUUUGCUGUAUCACGGGAGCAACUUUCUCAUAGAAAGUCAAUUUACUGUGCCUCAAAUCGCUGAAAUAUUGUGUAUGUCAGUAAAGACUAUUAGAAGAAGAAUGUCGGCUUAUGGUCUCUUUAUCAGAGCAUGUUACUCAAGUAUAAGUGAUCAACAGCUGGAUGAACUUGUAUUACAAAUACAUGUACAACAAGAUUUUCCAAACUGUGGAAACAGACAAAUGCGAGACCAUCUUGUAGCUAGAGGCUACCAAAUUCAACAAAGUCGUAUUAGAUUAUCACAAAGAAGAGUAGAUCCUGAGGGUGCUGUUAUGAGACAGUCUAAUGUUAUACAUUGAAGAGAAUAUUCUUUUCCCUGACCAUUAUCACUCUAUCAUAUUGAUGGAAUUAAUAAGAUGGAAGAUAGUGAUCCAUGGUUGUAUAGAUGGCUACAGCAGGCGCAUUAUUUAUCUACAUGCUUGUAACAACAAUAGGUCAGAAACAGUUCUUUGAUUGUUCCAACAAUCAGUGGAAGAGCUUUGAUUGCCUAGUCAUGUAAGGGCUGAUAAGGGAGGAGAAAAUGUUGGUGUUGAAAGGUUUAUGUUGCAGCAUCCUUUAAGAGGACCUGGAAGAGGGAGUUUUAUUAGUGGAAGAUCAGUCCAUAACCAACGAAUUGAGUGAUUGUGGAGAGAUUUAUUUCAAGGAUGUACAUCACUGUUUUAUGGCCUAUUCUAUGAAAUGGAGAAACAAAGAGUUUUGAACGUAAACAAUGAUGCCCACAUGUAUUCCCUUCAAUACAUAUUUAUUCCGAGAAUGAAUCGUGCUUUGUUUCAAUUUAAAGAAGCUUGGAACAAUCAUUCUUUAUCUACUAUAAGAAAUUUGUCUCCCAUACAAUUAUAGAUUAGGGAAUUAUACCACACACAAACUCAAGAGACAUUCACUGAAGCAGAAACAUUGUCUGAAGAAGAUGCUCAAAGUUAUGGUAUUGACUGGUCUAUUCCUGUCUCUCAAGAAGAUGAAAAUCAGAAUCAAGUGCUAGAAAUAGGUGGUCUUCUUAGUGGUGAAGCAUUCUCAGAUUUGCAAGCUCAAGUAACACCACUGCAAGAUAGUAGCAACUAUGGUGUUGAUUUAUAUUUCAAUGCUUUAAACUAUAUUUGCCAACAGCUUUAAUUGUAACACCUUAUUUCAAUAUCCUCUCUCUCUUAAUUUAUGCCACAAUUUCAUUGUAAUUUUAAUAAUUUUGCUUUUCAGUUUUGCAAUCAACAUGUAUGCAUGUAAACAACACCAAAAAUUCUUAAAAUGUAAUAAUCAUUGUUUCUCAGUUUAAAUGCAAA